rnacentral:rRNA from 1 species
UGGGGAAUUUUGGACAAUGGGCGAAAGCCUGAUCCAGCAAUGCCGCGUGCAGGAUGAAGGCCUUAGGGUUGUAAACUGCUUUUGUACGGAACGAAACGGCUCCUUCUAAUACAAGGGGCUAAUGACGGUACCGUAAGAAUAAGCACCGGCUAACUACGUGCCAGCAGCCGCGGUAAUAA